rnacentral:rRNA from 1 species
CGGAUUCCUUAGUACGGCGAGUGACCGGGAUGAGCUCAAAUUUGAAAUCUGGCGUCUUUCAGGCGUCCGAGUUGUAAUCUAUAGAGGCGUUUUCCGCGCCGGACCGCGUCCAAGUCUCUUGGAAUAGAGUAUCAAAGAGGGUGACAAUCCCGUACUUGACGCGACAACCGGUGCUCUGUGAUACGUUCUCAACGAGUCGAGUUGUUUGGGAAUGCAGCUCUAAAUGGGUGGUAAAUUCCAUCUAAGGCUAAAUAUUGGCGAGAGACCGAUAGCGAACAAGUACCGUGAGGGAAAGAUGAAAAGCACUUUGGAAAGAGAGUUAAACAGCACGUGAAAUUGUUAAAAGGGAAACGAUUGAAGUCAGUCGUGUGAAAGGUAUUCAGCCGUCUCUGGCGGUGUAUUUGCCUUUCACGGGUCAACAUCAGUUUAGUCCGGUAGAAAAAGGCUGGAGGAAGGUGGCACCCUCGGGUGUGUUAUAGCCUCCUGUCAUAUGUGCCGGAUUAGACUGAGGAACGCAGCUUGCAGCAAUGCCGGGGUUCGCCCACGUACAAGCUUAGGAUGUUGACAUAAUGGCUUUAAACGACCCGUCUUGAAACCACGGAC